rnacentral:rRNA from 1 species
AUGGUGCCCUCUCGCGUUGUGCCAGUGGUGGUGGUAGCCUUGUGGUUGCAAGCUGCCGGGUGGGGGGAAGCGGCUGUCCCGCCCAACAUGGCCUUGCCGGGCUGCCCGAGCUCCUGCGGCGACAUAGCCAUCCCCUACCCGUUCGGCAUCGGCCCGGGCUGCUACCUCGACGGUUUCAACCUCACAUGCAACGACGACGGCUCCCACCGACCGCCGAAGCUGUUUCUCGGCGACGGCACCGUCGAGGUCCUCGAGAUAUCCCUCGAGAACACCACGGUGCGCGUCAGCAGCGUGGUCGACACGAACGACACGGUCGUCCCUGGCGUCGGCACGGGGAACGGCACAUGGGGCAGCGGCCUCGCCGGCGCCGGCCCCUUCUAUCUCACGGGGCAACGCAACCAGCUCGUCGUCAGGGGCUGCAACAUGCAGGCCGUCCUCCUGGACGCGCGUAACAGCAGCUACGUCGUCGCCGCCUGCACGUCCAUCUGCGCCUACGUGAACAGCAACCCGGGGCUGCCGGCCUUGGCGUCCCAACCUAUGGACCACUGCUCCGGCGUCAGCUGCUGCCAGACGUCCAUCUACGUAGGCCUCACGUCCUACACUGUGCAGCUGUCCCCCGUGGGCGACAUGAUGCCAUCCUUCUUCUUUCCGGCCAUGGGACUUGUGUUCAUAGCGGACGCGGAGUGGUUCGAUGGGAACGCCACCAACCUCGGGCCGCUGCCGAACGAGGAAAAACCAGUGGUUCCGGCGACUCUAGACUGGGCCAUCGGUGAAUCGGAGUGUACCGGCCGAGAUGGCGCGCCCGGCUCCGGCACUGCCUGCUCCAGCAGCAAUAGCCUCUGCCGCGACGCCACAGGCCUGUCUCGCAGCGGUCAUUCUUGUCACUGCUCACCCGGCUACGAGGGAAACCCAUACAUACCAGAUGGAUGCCGAGAUAUCGACGAAUGUGCGCGUCCGGAAGCAUAUUCCUGCUACGGUGGAUGCAAAAAUAGACCAGGGUCAUUUUCGUGCUUUUGUCCUGAGGGGACACAAGGUGAUCCCCGGAUCAGAAACGGGUGUAUUCGAAAACUCUCUAUAGGUUUGUUUGUGGGUCUAGCAGUUGGCGGUGGCAUAAGCCUUAUUUGUCUAGUGCCUGGUAUCAUAUAUUUCAAGCACAAGUUAAAGGCUCAACAGGCUAAGAGACUCAGAGCGAAGUACUUCAAGCAAAAUCGAGGUCUAUUGUUACAGCAAUUGGUGGACAAGGACAUUGCUGAAAGGAUGAUAUUUAGCUUAGAAGAACUUGAGAAGGCCACAAACAAGUUUGAUGAGGCCCGCAAACUUGGUGGUGGUGGCCAUGGUACUGUGUAUAAAGGUAUACUAUCAAAUCAGGAUGUGGUUGCCAUCAAGAAAUCAAAAAUUACAAUCCAAAGAGAAAUUGAAGAUUUCAUAAACGAGGUUGCCAUCCUUUCACAGAUUAACCAUCGAAACGUUGUGAGGCUAUUUGGAUGCUGCCUGGAGACACAAGUCCCAUUACUGGUUUAUGAAUUCGUCUCAAACGGAACUCUUUCUGAGUAUCUCCAUGUUGAAGGUGCCCUAUCCUUGUCUUGGCAGGAUCGAUUGAGGAUUUCUAUUGACACCGCAAGUGCUCUGGCCUAUUUGCACUCAUCCGCUCCAUAAUACACAGAGAUGUUAAAUCUGCCAACAUUCUACUUGACCAUCGUUUAAUUGCUAAAGUAUCAGAUUUUGGAGCUUCUCGAGGUAUCCCUAUCGAUCAAACGGGAGUGACAACUGCCAUCCAAGGUACAUUUGGGUACCUAGACCCCGAGUACUACCAAACAAGUAGGUUGACUGAUAAAAGUGAUGUUUAUAGCUUCGGAGUCAUACUUGUUGAGUUGCUCACAAGAAAAAAACCAUCCGCUUUCAUGCACUCAGAAGGCACAAGCCUUAUUGCACAUUUCAACUUGGUAAUAAGCCAGGAUAAGUUAUGUGAGAUAUUAGAUCCUCAAAUCAUCUCGGAGUGUCUGGAGGGUGCAAAAGAGGUUGCAACACUCGCAUCAAGAUGCCUAAACUUGAAGGGUGAUGAGAGGCCAACCAUGAGACAAGUGGAGAUGGCACUGGAAAGAUUGUUAGUAGAAAAUAAAAAUACCGAAAAGGGGCGUUCUGCUGAGCUAAACUGCACACCAGCUCAAAUAAGCAACAACAAUGCCGAAAAUAGCAGGCAGUAUAGCGCCGAGCAGUCACUCCUACUAUCAGCAAGCUUUCCACGUUGA